rnacentral:rRNA from 1 species
UAAUACGUAGGGUGCGAGCGUUGUCCGGAAUUACUGGGCGUAAAGAGCUCGUAGGUGGUUUGUCGCGUUGUUCGUGAAAACCGGGGGCUUAACCCUCGGCGUGCGGGCGAUACGGGCAGACUGGAGUACUGCAGGGGAGACUGGAAUUCCUGGUGUAGCGGUGGAAUGCGCAGAUAUCAGGAGGAACACCGGUGGCGAAGGCGGGUCUCUGGGCAG